rnacentral:rRNA from 1 species
AAUAGAUACCCAGGUAGUCCAUGCCGUAAACGUUGGGAACUAGAUGUGGGGACCAUUCCACGGUCUCCGUGUCGCAGCUAACGCAUUAAGUUCCCCGCCUGGGGAGUACGGCCGCAAGGCUAAAACUCAAAGGAAUUGACGGGGGGCCCGCACAAGCGGCGGAGCAUGCGGAUUAAUUCGAUGCAACGCGAAGAACCUUACCAAGGCUUGACAUAUACGAGAACGCCGUAGAAAUACGGAACUCUUUGGACACUUGUAUACAGGUGGUGCAUGGUUGUCGUCAGCUCGUGUCGUGAGAUGUUGGGUUAAGUCCCGCAACGAGCGCAACCCUCGUCGUAUGUUGCCAGCACGUAAUGGUGGGAACUCAUAUGAGACUGCCGGGGUCAACUCGGAGGAAGGUGGGGAUGAGGUCAAAUCACCAUGCCCCUUAUGUCUUGGGCUUCACGCAUGCUACAAUGGCCGGUACAAAGGGCUGCAAUACCGCGAGGUGGAGCGAAUCCCAAAAAGCCGGUCUCAGUUCGGAUUGAGGUCUGCAACUCCG